rnacentral:rRNA from 1 species
UAUUCCUACGGGACGCAGCAGUCGGGAAUAUUGCGCAAUGGAGGAAACUCUGACGCAGUGACGCCGCGUGCAGGAAGAAGGUUUUCGGAUUGUAAACUGCUUUAGACAGGGAAGAAAAAAGACAGUACCUGUAGAAUAAGCUCCGGCUAACUACGUGCCAGCAGCCGCGGUAAUACGUAGGGAGAAAGCGGUAUCCGGAUUUAUUGGGAGUAAAGGGUGCGUAGACGGGAAUGCAAGUUGGUUGUGAAAUCCCUCGGCUUAACUGAGGAACUGCAACCAAAACUACAUUUCUUGAAUGCUGGAGG